rnacentral:rRNA from 1 species
GACGAACGCUGGCGGCGUGCUUAACACAUGCAAGUCGAACGAUGAAGCUGGAGCUUGCUCUAGUGGAUUAGUGGCGAACGGGUGAGUAACACGUGAGCAAUCUGCCCUUGACUCUGGGAUAACUGCGGGAAACUGUAGCUAAUACCGGAUACGACACCUUGGGGCAUCCCGAGGUGUGGAAAGAAUUUCGGUCAAGGAUGAGCUCGCGGCCUAUCAGCUUGUUGGUGAGGUAAAAGCUCACCAAGGCGACGACGGGUAGCCGGCCUGAGAGGGUGACCGGCCACACUGGAACUGAGACACGGCCCAGACUCCUACGGGAGGCAGCAGUGGGGAAUAUUGGGCAAUGGAGGAAACUCUGACCCAGCGACGCCGCGUGCGGGAUGAAGGCCUCGGUUGUAACGCUUCAGCAGGAAGAAGCGAAAGUGACGGUACCUGCAGAAGAAGCACCGGCUAACUAUGUGCCAGCAGCCGC